ensembl:snoRNA
CCCCUUCUCUAAAGCACUCGUUGGGUCCGUGCCGUGGCCCAGGGAGUUGUCGUGGAAGGGCAGAGCAAAGACGCCGCUUUUGGGUGAAGUGGCAGCUCCUGGUGCUGUUGAUUUCAAUCAGUGGUGGGACAUCG